GCUCAGGAUGAACGCUAGCUACAGGCUUAACACAUGCAAGUCGAGGGGCAGCAUGACCUAGCAAUAGGUUGAUGGCGACCGGCGCACGGGUGAGUAACACGUAUCCAACCUACCGGUUAUUCCGGGAUAGCCUUUCGAAAGAAAGAUUAAUACCGGAUAGUAUAGCGAGAAGGCAUCUUCUUGUUAUUAAAGAAUUUCGAUAACCGAUGGGGAUGCGUUCCAUUAGUUUGUUGGCGGGGUAACGGCCCACCAAGACAUCGAUGGAUAGGGGUUCUGAGAGGAAGGUCCCCCACAUUGGAACUGAGACACGGUCCAAACUCCUACGGGAGGCAGCAGUGAGGAAUAUUGGUCAAUGGACGAGAGUCUGAACCAGCCAAGUAGCGUGAAGGAUGACUGCCCUAUGGGUUGUAAACUUCUUUUAUAUGGGAAUAAAGUGAGCCACGUGUGGCUUUUUGUAUGUACCAUACGAAUAAGGAUCGGCUAACUCCGUGCCAGCAGCCGCGGUAAUACGGAGGAUCCGAGCGUUAUCCGGAUUUAUUGGGUUUAAAGGGAGCGUAGGCGGACUAUUAAGUCAGCUGUGAAAGUUUGCGGCUCAACCGUAAAAUUGCAGUUGAUACUGGUCGUCUUGAGUGCAGUAGAGGUAGGCGGAAUUCGUGGUGUAGCGGUGAAAUGCUUAGAUAUCACGAAGAACUCCGAUUGCGAAGGCAGCUUACUGGACUGUAACUGACGCUGAUGCUCGAAAGUGUGGGUAUCAAACAGGAUUAGAUACCCUGGUAGUCCACACAGUAAACGAUGAAUACUCGCUGUUUGCGAUAUACGGCAAGCGGCCAAGCGAAAGCAUUAAGUAUUCCACCUGGGGAGUACGCCGGCAACGGUGAAACUCAAAGGAAUUGACGGGGGCCCGCACAAGCGGAGGAACAUGUGGUUUAA
rnacentral:rRNA from 1 species